AGGAGAAUAUAGUGAUUAGACUCUUGAUCAUGCAAAGGUCCUUUAUUAACCGGGAGAUUGGAUCCCGAUUCUUCAGUCAUGAUCCAAGUGCCACCAAAAAGAGUUGUUUACUAUAAAUUCAAAAUCAUUAAAUUUUCAUUCAAGAACAUUGUUCAGAAAGCAUUUCUAGAUUGGACCAGCAGAAAAAAAUGAAGCACCUCUUGACUUUGGAGCUCAUCAGCGCACAGAUAUGAUUUGGAGAGCUAUGAACUAAAUCCCAGAAAGCCAAUCAAUUGACACAUGGCUGUUAGUGCAUGAGCAUGUAUCAACCAUGCUGACAGAAUUUUGAAGGCAUAUAGAAAGGGAUGGAAUGUAAAAAUGAUUUACUAUGUAAGUCAAAAACUACAUAAAUGUUGGAUUAAUUAACAGUAAAUUAUAAAGAUGUAUCUUUGUUGUGUUCAA